GACGAACGCUGGCGGCGUGCCUAAUACAUGCAAGUCGAACGCAUUUUCUUUCACCGUAGCUUGCUACACCGAAAGAAAAUGAGUGGCGAACGGGUGAGUAACACGUGGGUAACCUGCCCAUCAGCGGGGGAUAACACUUGGAAACAGGUGCUAAUACCGCAUAAUUCCAUUUACCGCAUGGUAGAUGGGUGAAAGGCGCUUUUGCGUCACUGAUGGAUGGACCUGCGGUGCAUUAGCUAGUUGGUGGGGUAACGGCCUACCAAGGCUGCGAUGCAUAGCCGACCUGAGAGGGUGAUCGGCCACACUGGGACUGAGACACGGCCCAGACUCCUACGGGAGGCAGCAGUAGGGAAUCUUCGGCAAUGGACGCAAGUCUGACCGAGCAACGCCGCGUGAGUGAAGAAGGUUUUCGGAUCGUAAAACUCGGUUGUUAGAGAAGAACAAGGAUGAGAGUGGAAAGUUCAUCCCUUGACGGUAUCUAACCAGAAAGCCACGGCUAACUACGUG
rnacentral:rRNA from 1 species